AAUUGGGAGAAGAAACCCAUUCUGAUCCAACGACAGAAUCCAGACUAUUACAAAGGACUCUUUUCGACGGCUGAGUUUGACCACAUCUUAAGAAACGAUGACGUGCAGUAUGGAGUGAAUCUGGAUGUGACGAGCUACACAAAUG